UACGUAGGGUGCAAGCGUUGUCCGGAAUUAUUGGGCGUAAAGAGCUCGUAGGCGGUUUGUCACGUCGGCUGUGAAAACCUGGGGCUCAACCCCGGGCCUGCAGCCGAUACGGGCAGACUAGAGUGCGGUAGGGGAGACUGGAAUUCCUGGUGUAGCGGUGAAAUGCGCAGAUAUCAGGAGGAACACCGGUGGCGAAGGCGGGUCUCUGGGCCUUACCUGACACUGAGGAGCGAAAGCGUGGGGAGCGAACAGG
rnacentral:rRNA from 1 species